rnacentral:rRNA from 1 species
UACGUAGGGUGCAAGCGUUAAUCGGAAUUACUGGGCGUAAAGCGUGCGCAGGCGGUUUUGUAAGUCUGUCGUGAAAUCCCCCGGGCUCAACCUGGGAAUUGCGAUGGAGACUGCAAGGCUAGAAUCUGGCAGAGGGGGGUAGAAUUCCACGUGUGAACAGUGAAAUGCGUAGAGAUAGUGGAGGAACACCGAUGGCGAAGGCAGCCCCCUGGGUCAAGAUUGACGCUCCAUGCACGAAAGCGUGGGGAGCAAACAGG